GUGCUGUAGACUUCAGCAGCACAUAUACUAAAAUCGGAACGAUACAGAGAAGAUUAUCAUGGCCCCUGUGCAAGGAUGACGAAAGUCUAGACUUGGAAAGCUGGUUA
ensembl:snRNA U6 U6 spliceosomal RNA